rnacentral:rRNA from 1 species
AUUGAACGCUAGCGGGAUGCCUUACACAUGCAAGUCGAACGGAGUGGCGAACGGGGGAGUAAUGUAUCGGAACGUGCCCAUUAGCGGGGGAUAACUACGCGAAGGCGUAGCUAAUACCGCAUGCGUUUGGAGCGGCCUAGGUCGGAUUGGCUAGAUGGUGGGGUAACGGCUCACCAAGGCGACGAUCCGUAGCUGGUUUGAGAGGACGACCAGCCACACUGGGACUGAGACACGGCCCAGACUCCUACGGGAGGCAGCAGUGGGGAAUUUUGGGCAAUGGGGGAAACCCUGAUCCAGCCAUCCCGCGUGUGCGAUGAAGGCCUUCGGGUUGUAAAGCACUUUUGGCAGGAAAGCGGUACCUGCAGAAUAAGCACCGGCUAACUACGUGCCAGCAGCCGCGGUAAUAC